CUAUGAGUCCCAGCAGACAUCUCCAAAAGAAGUCACCAGUCUGAAGUCCAGAAACAUGGAUCAUCAGGUGAGAUGCUCUGAAUAACAGAAAUAAUGAACCUUAAGCCUUCAACCUUCCCAUUUGUUUUUAUGGAGAAAAAUUCAGACUAAGAAAGGUGGAUCCCUGACAUUUGUUCUCUUUAAAACAAGAAUUAAGAUACACGUGUUGGAAGAAUUUACUGAAGUCACCCAAAGUCAAGCUUUGUUGUCCAGAUAUCCAAAAUCUCUGUAUGGUAUUCACUGCUGAGGAUAACCCGAUCUCAGGAAGACUGAAGGUAAAAGAUUUCAUGGCCAUUAUUUAAGUAAAAUUACCACCUAAGUGAAAUGGGAAAACAUCACAUGACAACAAAAAAAAACCUGUCUCAUUAAAAGAUGUCUUAAGCCCAAAUGAAAUAAGAAUAUCAUGGAAUCUAGUUUAAAAUUGAUGUGAAAAAUUGGAAGAAAUUUGCAAGAAACUUUUCCAUUUUGUUUUAAGAAAAUGAAUGGCUAUGUUCCCAUUCCUGUGGAAAAUUUUGGAGGUACCUCACAUAAUUUAUAAUUGAUUUUCCACUAAACUGUUGAAGAAUCAUUUUUGCUUCUGUUACUAAAGUGCAGCACCAGCAAAAAAACCUGCAGAACAUCUUGGCAAAUUCUUUAGAAAUUACUUCUACCUCAAAAACCUGAAAGUAUGAUUUUUUUAGUUUGUUUUUAGGGCUUCUUGGUUUUUUUUGUAUUAGAAAAAGAAAAUACUGUAAAUGUGUUGAAUACAUUAGUUCCAUAAUGCAUUCCUAUUCAGUAGGCUCAUAGUACUGUAGUUCAUUUCAGCUGAACAUUUCAAAUGACACUUUAAGGUAAAUCUUAUAGAUUUUAGAUUUGAAAUUUCAUAAUUCCUUUUUAGAGUGCUUGGAUCUAAUCUGUGACUUAAAAGCCAUACUUGAGCAAGUGUCAGACUUGAGCUUGGUUUACUCUUUCCUAGAUUUCCUAGAUUUCUGAGAGUCUGGGUAUUAGGAGCUUUAAAUAAUCACCUCAUGAGUUUUAUUACUCUAUAAUAAGUCUCUCAGCUUUGACUUGCUCCUGAGUUUUCUCUAGCAACAAAAAUGCUUUAUUAUCUGGAGAGCAACUUAAAGAACUCAGGAAUCUAAUUUAGUGUGUGAGAACUUU
rnacentral:lncRNA from 1 species